GCUAGGGUUUUUCUGAUCCAAACUGCAACCUACAUAGCUCAUUGCUCUUGAAUAUUCACAUUCCUCUAUAUGAUGGCUGAAUCUUUGUUGAGAUGGGAAAGAGGAUGAUCUGAUGAGUCCAUUUGAUUCAUUAAAGUUAGCUUGUGACAAUCUUUCUCUACUACUUGAGGAGUUGCUCCAAAGAGUUGUAGAAGGUUCAUCACAUCCAUCUAAUGGACCUCUUUGAUCCAAAA
rnacentral:misc_RNA from 1 species